CUUUUUGCCAUUUCUUGGGCCGCUCCUGCGAGAUAUGGAGGUUCCCAGGCUAGGGGUCGAGGCGGAGCUGUAGCCACCGGCCUACUCCAGAGCCACAGCAACGUGGGAUCCGAGCUGCGUCUGCAACCUACACCACAGCUCACAGCAACACCGGAUCCCCACUGAGCAAGGCCAGGGAUCGAACCCGCAACCUCAUGGUUCCUAGUCGGAUUUGUUAACCAUUGCACCACGAUGGGAACUCCCAUCAGUACUUCUUUUUAUUGUCCAUUUUGGAGCUAUGGUUUGGAGUAUACCACAUGACUCCACUGAGAGUGGACAGAUGUGAUACUCGGUAUCUAAGGAUAUGUGAAGCAAGUAAUAGAGGAACUGAGCAGACAGAGCUGUGUCUCUGACCCUCUGGGAGUUUAAUCUUUCAUAUAUGGCUCCUCUCAAGGAAAAGAACAAUGAUUUUUUUCUGGUUAACAGGGAAUUCUCCUCCUCAUAGUAAAAUAACUAGGCAAUAAAGGUGAGGGACCUCACCUCAGGCCAAUAGGUAGUGACAAAAUUGAUAAAUGCUAGCUUUAAGUCCAAAAGUUGUGAACUAUGCAUGUUCAUAUGUCUCCCAACUCAAGAUCUGUGCCAAGGAACUAGUAGAAAUCAGGCAGAUAAUGAGAAGAAUCAAAUAAAAUCCACACAUUUAGUUAACAGGGGCUAUACAAACUUGGAAUAUGUGUGUAAUAUAAGACAAAGUAUUGCUUUGAAAAGAUUGUGCUCCAUGAAGGAAGAAGAACAAAGUCCCCCCAAAUCCUGAGAAAGUGAACACUUCAGAAAAUGCUUUGACAGAAGCGUAGGUAAAUGGAAAGAAUCCAAUUUGUAUUUUCUCUGACACAAGAGAUAAAAUCUAAAACAAGAUAUUAGACUAAGAUAAGAAAGUAGAAAUAGGAGUUCUCCUGUGGUUCUCAAGUUGAGGAUCUGGCAUUGUCACUGCAGCAGCCUGGGUCACUGCUGUGGCUCAGGUUCAGCCGUGGCCUGGGAACUUCCACAUGCCAUGGGCAAGAUCAAAAAAACCAAAACAAAGACCAAAAAACCCUCAAUAGGGUCGAAGAGUGGUGGCAGGAAUAAGAAAGCUCUAAUAUAUUCUUUUUCUUAUCUGCUAUAUCUGGAAAAAAGGAAAUUAUAGAAAGGCUUUCAUUCUACUGAUAAUUUUACAUAUUUUAGAUUUUUUUAAAAAUAUAAAGGUAAAUAACUACAAGUAGAAUUAAAAAUUGUGUGUUUAUUCUUUUAUAUUAAUAGAGAAAGAGAGAAAAGAAAAUAUUGCUUUGUUACAUAACAAAGAAGUAAAACUCCUCCUUCUCGCAUUUAUUCAGUCAUCCAAUAAGGUAGCUCUUGUGAGUAUUCCUCUGCAACAUUUUCUUGCAUGCAUAUACUCUGUCCCCAUUGUCACACGUUGUCCUCACUGUCACUCUCUGUCUCUAUUGACGCCUUUUGUUCAGGCCAUCAUCAAUUCAUAUUUACCAUACUAGUCUCUUAACUGUUCUCCUAUCCUUUUCUCUUGUCAAAUUCUAAAUGUAACUAUGUUCCUUUAGCACCUAAGGUCACUUCCUAUUAAUCUUAGGAUAUAAUCCAAACUCUAAAGAUAAUAUAAGGCUUCUUCUUAUUUCUCUAGACUCAUAUCCUGCCUCUUCUGAUUUCUUCAAUACCUCAAAUGCUCCCUUUUCAAGUGUUUACUAAUAUGUUUUUCUAAUCCUAGAACAUGAUCCCUUCACAUUUGCUUGGUUUGUUGAGGCCUCAGGUGAAUGGUCUGAUUCUAAGCAGGAAGGGCCUUACUUGACUUCUCUUCCAGGUUAUAAUUAUGGGCUCCUAUUUCACCCCAUCCUUUUACUUUUAUGACUUGCAUUAACUUGAAAUCCCAAGUGUAAUGCUUUUGAAGUUAGGAUGGCAACUGAUAUUAAAGAAACUUGCAACCAUCAGUCUGAAGCCUAGAUGGUCAUUGCCCUUGCAAAGAUGAACUCGAGCUGAUAUAGGUUAAUGCAUGUAGGCUAUAAAUGAGAGUUUUCAUUAAUAUUGCUGCAUUCAUAUGUUGGUAUCACCAUUUUCUAAUCCUAUGUCUUUAUUAAAUUUGAGCUUUAGUUUUUUUUCUGUCAAGUGUAGAUUAUAAUAAUACUUGCCUCAAAGUUUGUGUGUGUGUGUGUGUGUGUGUGUGUGUGUGUGUGUGUAUGUGUGUGUUUGUGUGCAAUGAGAUAAUAUAUGAACAGGGCCUGGACUAUAGGAGGAACCCAAUAAAUAUUAGCUAAUAUGGUUGACACUUGAACAGCAUGAGGAUUGGAGUACGAACACUCUCCCUCCCCAAAAAGUAGUUGAAAAUCCAGAUAUAACUCCACAUCUAUGGUUUUACAUCUGUAGAUUCAAAAAAAUCACAGAUUGUGCAGUACUGUAGUACAUAUUUAUUGAAAAAAAAUCCAUGCAAUUCAACUCCAUGUUGUUCAAGGUCAAUUGUUGAGUUAAUAUCUGUAACUUAAGUAGGUGGUUCUACAUGUAGUUGAUUUUUUUUCUUCCUUAGGGCCACACCUGUGGCAUAUGGCAGUUCCCAGGCUAGGGGUCAAAUUACAGCUGUGGCUGGUGGUCUAUACUACAGCCACAACAAUGCCAGAUACGAGCUGCAUCUGUGACUUACACCAUAGCUCACAGUAAUGCCGGAUCCUUAACCCACUGAGUGAGGCCAGGGAUCUAACCUGCAUUCUCAUGGAUACUAGUCACAUAUGUUCCUGCUGUUCCACAACAGGAAGUCAAAAAAUCUCUUACUUUAAAUUGUUUUAUAUUUGCUCAAAGAGCUAAAGAAAACCUUGGACAGUGAACCAAAAUAAAUCAGAAAAUUAUGUAUGAACAAAAUGAGAUUAUCAAUAAAGAAAUAGAAAUUAUAAAAAGGAACCAAAUAGAAAUUCUGUAGCUGAAUAGUAUAGUAAGUGUAAUGAAAAAUUCACUAGAGGGGUUUGGCAACAGAUUUGAGCAGGUAAAAGAAGUUAGUGAAUGUGCCAAUAGGACAAUUAAAACUGUUGAGAUGGAGGAGCAUAAAGAGAAAAGAAUAUAAAGAAAAAUUAACAGCCAGUUUCACUUUGGAAUCAUGAAGGCCAGAAGGCAGUAGUAUGACAUAUUUAAAAUGCUGAAAAGAAAAAUAGGUGUCAGCCAAGAAUUCUAUAUCCAGCAAAACUAUUCUUCAAAAAUAAAGGAAAAAUUAAGACAUUAUGAGACACACACACAGCUGAGAAAGAUUGUUGCUAAUAGACUUACCCUAUAAAGGGAGUACUUCAGGCUCAAAUGAAAGGCCACUAGACAAUAAUUUAGAGUCAUUCAAAGAAAUACACUUGGUUAAAGCAACUGUAUAGGUAAAUAUAAAAGCCAGCAUGAUUGUAUUUUUGUUUUGUAUCUCCUCUUUUUAUUUCCUACAUGAUUUAAAAGGAAACUGCUUAAAAAUAACUAUAAAUCUAUGUUAAUGGGCACACAAUGUAUAAAGAUGAAAUUUGAGAUUACAAGAAUGUAAAGGAGGGAACUAAGCUGUAUAGGAGUAUACUUUUUUAUAUAAUUGAGGCUAAGUUGGCAUUAAUUCAAAUUAGAUUGUUAUAAAUUCAAGUUUCUUGUUGCAAUCCUCAUGACAACCACAAGACAAUAUCUAAAAAAAAAUAAAUAAAUAAAAGAAAAUGAGAAGGGAAUAAUGUGAUACACAGCAAAGAAUCAAUUAAAUACAAGAGAAAGUGGUGAUGGGUGAAGUGAGGACCAGAAAAAUGGUAUAAGGUACACAGAAAUCAAAUAACAAAACGGCAGAAGUAAACACUUCCUUAUCAAUAAUUAAAUGUAAAUAGAUUAAUUUAUUAAUCAAAAGGCAAAGCUUCGCAGAAUGGCUAAUAUAACAUGAUUAAACUAUAUACUGUCUGUAAGAGACUUACCUUAGCUCCAAAGACACAAGAAAGUUGAAAGUAAAAGGAUGAAAACAGAUUUUCCAUGUAAAUAGUAAACAAAAGAGAUAUGAGGUGGCUAUAUCAGACAAAAUAGAUUUCAAAUUAAAACUGUCACAAGAAACAAAAAAAGGCAUUAUGUAAGAAAAAAGACCAUUUAUCAAGAAGAUAUUGCAAUGUAACACCAAAACAGUAGAGCUCCCAAAUAUAUGAAGCAAAUACUGGUAGAACUGAAGGGAGAAAUAGAGAGUACUACACUAACAGUUGGAGACGUCACUAUACCUUUUUUAAUAUGGAUAGAAAGACAGAAGCUCAAAAAAGGAUAUAGCAGCCUUGAAUAAUGGCAUAAACCAACUAGACCUAAUAUAUAUAGAGAGAACUCCACCCAACGGCAGCAGAAUACACGUUCUUCUCAAGUGGAUAUAGAACCUUCUCUAGGAUAGAUCAAAUGUUAAGCCACGAGUAUAACUUAAAAGAUUGAAAUCAUGUAAAGUAUCUUUUACAGCCAAAUAGAAUGAAGUUAGAAAUCAAUAACAGAAGGAAAACAGAAAAAAAAUACACAGAGUCAAAUAACACAUUCUUAAACAACUAAUGGUUUAAAAAGGAAAUCACAUGGGAAAUUAGAUUUACUUAGAGAUGAAUGAAAAAAAAUCAUAUCAAAAGUUAUAGGCCA
rnacentral:lncRNA from 9 species